GACUCUCGGCAACGGAUAUCUCGGCUCAUGCAUCGAUGAAGAACGUAGCAAAAUGCGAUACUUGGUGUGAAUUGCAGAAUCCCGUGAACCAUCGAGUUUUUGAACGCAAGUUGCGCCCGAAGCCUUUCGGCCGAGGGCACGUCUGCCUGGGCGUCACAC
rnacentral:rRNA from 1 species